GCAGAGUCGACGGGGGAGCCGCGGCCAUCAAUCCUGCGCCGUGAGGACGGGAGUUUAAACUGAAUUAGCUGACCAAGCUUGUCCUCUACAACCAGAUCUUCCAUGAGGUCCUCGCCAUUUUAGUUUUGGAACAAGUGCCUUUUUACCUUGAGCCCACAGGAGCACUCUCCUAAAUUGACUGAGCUGCAAUGCGCACUGGGCAGGGUUCCAAUGGCACAUAGGUCCCAUGCUAGCCCUACAGCAACCUCACCAUGCAGACUGGCGUGAGCCAGCUGACUCAACAUGCUCCCAAUUCCCAAACCGGCCUAAGAGUCUGGAAGCCCUGGUUUGUGUUCCUGGCCCUGGGGCAGUCCAGAUGGUGAGACUGCCUGUAGCAAGGCGGCCUGGCUCCCAGCCGCACCUGAGAGGGCCGAGCCAGAACGGACGCCGAAGUGGGCGGAGCCACUGCCGCCUGUUCCCGCCCCCGGAAGUCAAGGGGCGGGACAGGAAGUAUAAAAGCCCAGCCCCAGGGCUCAGUUGACUGCUGGCCGCCGGAGAAGCCAGAUGCUGGUGCCCGAGCUCCUGCUGGGCCGAGCCUGCCCCACACCCGGUACCCUGAGGAGGACUGGCCGGGCUUUCCCCGCGCCCUGUACCCUGCUUCCAGGUGCACUGCACCACUGAUCGGGAGCCACCCCAGAUAUCCUUGUUUGUCAAUGGAAAUCAGGAGAAAAAGCAGUCACCAGAAGAAAUUGUUUGCUCUGAAAAUGGCAUACAACAAAACUCCAUGGCGUGUGCAGUGCUGUUUAUAUGGGUAAAUAAAUGGCUUCUGUCCAAGUUGAACCCUCAGCACUGGAGAACAGAAAGGUGACUGGAUAGACCAUUUUUACAGUGGCAGGUGCAGUACAGGAGGACCACAGCACUGACUGUGCCAGUCUGGUAGAGAUGACCAUCCGAGCAUUCAAAACACAUGGCAAGAACUAUUGAGUCUCAUUCUUUAACACCAAGAAAAUGUAGCCACUCUGAAAUGUUAGUUAGCACCAUUGGUAAUCAACUGAAGUUAUUUUGUGUGUGGACACAAUGUGUAUUUCAGUGAAGUGAGGAGAAAUAAUAAUUAUCUAACAUGAUAAAUUUAUCUACUGUAGAAAAGGACUCAAAGAUGUGGGUGGCUGUUACCUGAGCUUUACCAUAUAAUUAUCCCUAAAACAAACUUUAAAAACUCGGGAACUGGUGUUUGGUUACCUCAUGCUCUUGGGCCACAGUACAUUUCCUAUGUUGCAUCACUUUCACUCUGUCCAAGAGGGGAGACCAUGGUGCAUCACGGGAGAUGUAGUCCAACUGGGGUGCCUGGCCAAUAGAAGAAAAUGGGAACAAGAGUCAACCUAACUGUAAUUCCCACGAAUACCAUGGCAACUGAGAUGAAAGAACUCAGCAGGAAACUAUCAAUUCCAUCAACCCCUUCCUCACUGAUCUAUGACCCUCUGACAUGGACUUGCAGGUAUAUCCCUUUCCCCUGGCUAGUAAGGGGGGGCACAAUUCUGUGGAAAGACCCUGGAGCAGCAGGGAAGCUGAAUACAGGGGGAACCGCUGGCAAACUUUGCACACCACAAGCUGCAGCAGGAGCCAGGAAACUGCAUGUGGGACAGGAUGUAACUGUUGGGCACUGCAGCCAAACUCAGAUCUGUUCAGAACUUGUGAGGAUGUGGCAGAGGCUGGGUAGAAAACCAGAUUAGAGAACUCCCAAUGAGACAUACUACUACCUGAUCCUGACCUGGAAACCUGCAAGCUCCUAUUUGUCUCCAGCAGAAACCAGACUGCAGUGCAGAGGCACCCCAGGCACUAAGGUCUGAGAAGCCCUAACCCGGGACUGCCCUCCCAAAGGCCCAGGUAGGACCUAUUAGCAUUUUACAUUAAAAUGCAACUGUUUAAACCAUUGUACCUCGGGCAUUUACAACCUUCCCCUUUCUGCCAACCCUAGUAAAAUAUAUUUUCAUUUAGCAGCUAUUAGGUUCAACCAGGGCUAGCAUCUAUAGCACCUAGCAUCUGAAGUGCCUUCAGCACUUGUCUCUGAGUCAUAGUACACCUGGCACUCCUACUACCUUUGAGGUUUGGGGUACCACAGCUCUAGCAUCUGUAACAAUUUCACAGCAUUUCCAAAUUGGAAAACUUUGGGUUUUGAACAUUCUGUGUUUUGAUGAAAAAUCCAAGUUUCCUAUGGAAAGCAGUUCAUUCAUAAAAAUAGUAAUCAUUUAUUGAAAAACAGCUUUCCAUAAAACAGCAACAGUUUCAAUGGAAAAUUUUCAGUCAGCUCUGAUACCAGGAAAAUACCAAUACAAUUAUGAUGAGUACAAAAUAAUGUUUGUAGUUCUAGAUUAGAGUAAAGUGAUUCUUUAUAUAUACCGUAUCUAUAUUCCUCUCAUCAUACCACUACAGGACAGAGUUAAAGUCAAAGCCACCAACUUCCCUGUUGGCAAUAUAGUUUCAUUCUCAUUGGGAAUUAUGGGAGGAGGCCAUUUUGAAAUUGAGCAUUUCAGCUGAUGACACCAGUGGCCUAA